AAGGAAAAGAAUAUAAUAUGAGUUAUUAUUUGGCUGAUGGAAUAUAUCCAAAAUGGUCUACCAUAGUACAAACUAUUCAAGAGCCUGUAGGUAAUAAAUACUUGCUUUUUACAAGUUGAAGUUUGGUUAAAUUGUAUAAUUUAAAAAUAAGUGAAAAUAAUCUAAAAUCUUAUAAAAUAAAGGUGUUCUUUGCAAUAUAUAAAAAGUUGAAAAAUGAAUAUAAUAAAAUUUGAGGAAGAAAAUGAGAGGAACCAUUGGAGCAAAUCACAAAUUCAUUUUGAGUUUACUUCAUUUUGAGGGAAAAAAAUGAGGAAAACCAUUGGAGAUGGUCUUAUAUAUAUGAUUCUAACAAACAAUUACAUAUCAGCACAUAAUUAUUUGCAAACUUACAAAAUAAUCUUAAAAUGAAAAUAAAUAACACCUUUUCAAAAUCUGUCGCUCGAAUGAAAAUAUGGAGGGUCUUAUUGUAUUCUACGUGAAUGUCACUAACAUUUCAAUCUUCUCUCUUUUAUUUAUAGAUCUAUUUCCUGCAAUAAUAAUAAUAAUAUCAAUAAAUAAAAACUGUAUUUCUCCUUACUGUACGCGGUACCCAAUAAAAACGUUUUCUCUGGGGAAGUUAUAGAUCAUCCCAAGGCAUAGAGUUAGAACAGUUACCUUCUGGUUGGAAGCUAUGGAUCAUCUUCUACAUGGAUUUAGAAUAGUUACCUUCAGUUGGGAAACUAUGAAUCAGCCCCUAACAUGUGUGCUUGUACCUGAUUGAUGAAGCUUCAAGAGAGGCUACAGUAGAGAUUUCAAAGUACUUGGGGCUCUUUGUAGUAGAAGCUGGUGGUCCAUAAACCCCUUUGAAGAUGGCGAGUAAUCAGAAGAGAGGGGGAGACAUCAAACUAGCGUAAAGAAGAGAUCCAAGAAGUUGAUGUGUGCAAGUUGUGGAGUUCACUCUUUCAGCACAAGUUAGGCCAUGAUCCAGAGUCUAAAGACUCUACCAUGAGUAAUCUGAAGUUCCUUGGACUCACUGGCCAAUCCCUAGGCCUUGUUGAACUCUACUCUUUUUCCCUUAGCAAGGUUUGAUCCCAAAAGGUUUUCUUGCUAAGGUUUUAAUGAGGGAGCUUCUUCAAGGUUCCAAGCUUGUCCAAGGAUCUUCUAUGGUCAAGAUUGAGAAGGAGUGUUGAAAUGAAGAAGGAAGAAGCAAUGACUUAGUUGUUGGAAUGAAGAAAACAUGACCAAAAAAAAAGAGUCAUUGCAUGAUCCAAGCCAACAUAUCCACGGGAAUUCAUCCACGUAAUUUAUUUCCAAGGAAACCCAUCCACGGCAACUUAUUCAUUCGACCCUUAGAGACAAAAGAGUUUGAAUUUGAAUCUUAGAGUCUUUGGAAGUGGCCCCUCUAGUCUUUGUUUAUUCAUUUCUUCUUUGUCUUAUCAGUCUAUAUAUUCAAAUGUAUGCAGAAUAAUAAACUAAGGAGAAAUCCUUCAUAUACUCUCUCUCUCUCUCUUACAUACAAUUAUCUACAUUCUCUCUCUCUUUACUUUCUGGAUUUACAACCUCUUUUCUCUCUUGUUCUUGAGUGUUCGUUCUUCACUUAUUCAUCAUCUUUUUUUAUAGACACAACACUCCUCACACAUAUAUAUGUCAAUUGCUAUCUCAGAUGCCAACACUAAACCUUCAAAUCAUUAGCUUCUUUUUGAUUUAUGAACUUUUCUAGAUAACUAAAAUUGAUGGUUGUGGGAACCGAAAUUCGCACUGUCGAUUUCCGUUUAAAUUAGGAAAGUAUGAAAACUCUAGUUUCCCAGAGUUUUCGAAUAUCUGCUAAUACCACACUCUAAGCAAUCAGAACACGAGAUAACAACAGAAAGUUUAAGAAAUCGUAAAAAGAGAGCAAAGAGAAGCUUAUUCCGAAUUUGUGUAUGAGCGUUUACAACAAGGUAUAAGCCUGGACUCGAGAUCUCUCGGCGAGAUUUCUAGUUCUAACAACGCUAAGACGGCUAAUCCUAAUUGAGUCGCAGCUCGAAAUAACAAAAACGGAAAGUUGCCUAAUUGCUCUAAGUGCUAAGUUCUCUCCGAAAAGUUUUUUUUUUCCUCUGCCUCUCGCCUAGAACUCCUUAUAUACUCGCUCCUAGGUCGGUUUACGCUUUUCCCCUUCUACCCUUAAGCUGUCAUAGCUCAAAAAUGGAGAUAUUAUGUUUUUCCCGAUCUUCGUGAUUAUCUUCGAAAACUUCAUAUUUAUCCGCGGAAACUUGACAUUUAUCUUUCCUUGCGAACCAAGCAUAAACCAUCAUACGGCUCAUGGGCUUUUGGUUAAGAAGUCGUAAGUGGGCUUCGAGUCAUGACUUAGGUCUCUUUGGACCGUCUUUUGACUCGAAACGUUUAUUACGGUUUCUUCGAUAAAAACAAAUUUUCCACGGUUUUUGUCGUAAAAUUUGAUUGAUGACUUCGAAUAACGAGAACAUGAAAUGGUUCAGCUACGAUCUUCGGGAGAUAGCAUUAAAGAGUAGACGAGAAUGCAUGGAUUCGCGUCAUAUCGACGUUUUAGGAAAGCUUGAUCGCUUCGUAACGAUCGAAAUGUGCAUGUGCUCGGUCACUACGUAUUGACCAAGCUUAGUUCUGAACUCGGUCGCUACGUAGCGACCGUGCCGUGGGUGUGCUCGGUCGCUACGUAGAGACCGAGCAGUACGCGUGCUUGGUCGCUGAGCGGUACGCGUGCUCGGUCGCUGAGCGGUACGCGUGCUCGGUCGCUGAGCGGUACGCGUGCUCGGUUGCUACGUAGCAACCGAGCUUGACUCGAACUCGGUCGCUACGUAACGACUGAGCGGUACACGUGCUCGGUCGCUACGUAGCGACCGAGCUUGGCUCGAGGUCAUUACGUAGCGACCGAGCCAUGUGCAUGCUUGGUCUCCGCGUAUUGAUCGAGCUUGGCUUGUCCGCGGUCCGAUUAUCAUGCUCGAGCUCGUCCAUGGCCAGUCGGAUACGUGUCCGUUGUCUUGGGACAAUCUGUAUUUGGUUCGACCGCGAUUCGAAUAAGAUUUUAACGCAAGGCUCUUCGUAAAAAUUUAUUUACGAAGAUUACUUUUCGUAAAAACGUUCAUGCCGAUUUUGACGGACUUUCAGACAUUGAUUCCGUCAUGACCGAUUUUGACUCUAACAAUGGUGAUCUUUUUAAGACCACAGAAAUUGGGUUAACAGAAGAUUAAUUUUCUUUUCUUUUAUAAUCCAAUUUUGAACCAUUCGUAGAUUUUGUUACUAUCCAUCACUAUCUUCCAAGAAUGUGAUCUCUUAUCUAGAAAUGUGGGUAGGCUAAGAUUAGAUUUCCUCCGUUUUUGAUAGAGCCAGUUUCGUACCAACUAAAACAAAAUCUAAAGCUUCGUAUUUAGACAUGCGGUUUUAAACUGAACGGAACCAAAUCAAAAUGUUCAGUUUUCAAUUCAUGUUUAGUCAUAGUUCUGAACUGAUUGAACAUUUUUUUCAAAAUUAAUUAGAUUAUCAAUUCGGUAAUCAACUAAUUAGAUAUUUAUAAAUUUAAACUAAGCCGAUUUACCACAAUAUAUCUAACCAAACUAACCGAAUAUAACUAAAAUUACCUGAAUUUUUAAUAAAAGUUUAAAACUUCAGUUCAUUUUGAUAACAUAAUUGAAAAACCAAACUAAACCAACCCAAACCAAACCAAACUGUAAUUUGUGUCGGUUCAGUUCAACAGUUUUUCAGUUAACCGAACUGUCCGACACAUAAGAAUCAUGAUAAUGCUUCUCGAGCCACACACUAAGAAACUAAAAAGUCACAGAACAAUACCCACCUGCAUAAUCAGCGUGUAAAGCAAAUGACUAGUGAGGGUUUGUUUGGUAUCUCGAUUGAUUCUCAUAAUCUCUCUUUUUUGCACAUCGGAGAGAAAAAUAAUUUCGGACAAGAAACAAGCAAGCCGUCGAGCAGUCCAGAUUCCAACAAUGAUUCCUGAAAGAACUAAGAAACAUAGAAGGAAAGUAUAUUUUCUUGUUAUUGCUUGCUUAACUUGUUCAAUACAUCAUACAUUUUGCUUUUAUAAUGAGCUCAUCCUAGGGGUUUACACACAGGUCACAGGCUACAGAUUGAUUCAGCGGCGCAUAAUCGUUACGGAUGAGGAUAUGCUGAGCUGUCAGUGUAGGAGAAGACUAUUGAAGAGUUGUGAGUAAGCAAGGAUUUGGGUUUUGAAGUUAAAUUGGGUCUCUCUACUUUGUCAAUAAGUUGGGCUUGUUCUUUUACUUGAGUUGGGCUUUCACUUAUAGUUAUGACGCUCCAAAGGAGUACUACGCCACCACGCCGGUGGCGAGAAAAGGUCAGUCGUCAACAACCAUCACUUCUUUGCGAUUUUAUCGCUUGUGGUGAUAUGUAUAAGUUUUAGAUAUAAGUAGAAAUAAUAUAAAUGUAUGUUCAAACUUAGACUAUUUGUAAGUAUAUAAAAAUUGUUUUUGUUUUAAUAGUAAUGAUAUUUUUAUUUGUAUAAAAUAACAGAAUAGAUUUGAUAUCAAACCUUGAAAUUUUUAGUAUUUAUGACAUAUUUCGUUUUUAGUGGA